rnacentral:rRNA from 1 species
AUGCAGGUGCAUCACCCCCCGCUCCCAACAACCACGAGCAGCAGCGCGUAUGGCAGUGGACACAACCGAGUACCCUUCUCCCCUGCUCCCUUCCCCAGCCAACAUCCAUCGAGUUCCAUCAGUGUGGUCGUGCAGCACGCGGGUGUGGGUUUGCAAUCUGGUGCCCAUCUACGUGCAGCCCACGAGGAGGCGACUGGUACUAAAGAUGCUACAUCCAUGAUAGUGUUCUUCCCUCUAAUUAUACGGACGAGCUGCACAGAACUGCGGUCAUCCCGAGCCUGCCGCCGAGGAGCCGGCGAGCGUCCCCGCGGCACCACCGCCUACCUGAACCUCGAACCGGGCGACUGCUACGGGGACAGCACCGCCGUCUCCUCCUCCUGCAGGCAAGAAGAGGAUGAGGAUCUCCACACCUGCCCCCAUGUAGUUCACUCGACGCGCCCGUGUGGUGCGGAGCGCAUCUGCGUGCAGUACGCCCGCCAACCAACUCCACAAUGCCCACAGUCCACCCCGUGGUCCAAUGCAAUCCGACGACUCGAUGCAUGCAGCUUGCAUGGUGCGUGUGUGCAGUUUUCAGGCUCGCAGGUGUGUGGUUCUACCAACAACCAACUCCACCGCGGCCCAGCACUCACGCCGUGGAGCUCCUGGACUUCAGCGUCGAGGCGUUCAACAACUGACGCAGAGACUGGAACGGACACAGCCGCCUUUCCUCGUUGUCUUCAUUGGAAAGCACACCCAGUGGCUGCUCGCGGGCGUGCUGCGUGCCGUUCGGUAUCAGUAGCAAUGCGGUUCAGAAUCACGGUUUGA